rnacentral:rRNA from 1 species
UACGAAGGGUGCAAACGUUGCUCGGAAUCAUUGGGGGUAAAGCGCACGUAGGCGGCCUCAAAAGUCGGAUGUGAAAUCCCGUGGCUCAACCAUGGACGUGCAUUCGAAACUGCGAGGCUUGAGUAUGGAAGAGGGUCGCGGAAUUCCCGGUGUAGAGGUGAAAUUCGUAGAUAUCGGGAGGAACACCAGUGGCGAAGGCGGCGACCUGGGCCAAUACUGACGCUGAGGUGCGAAAGCGUGGGGAGCAAACAGG